rnacentral:tRNA from 1 species
AAGAAAGUGGCAGAGUGGUCAUGCGGCCGGCUUGAAACUGGCCUACGGGGGUUCGAUUCCUUCCUUUCUCG